UGCCUCCUGGUACUUACCACAGGCUGUGUUUUUGCAUUCACUGUAUAGAAAAAGGAGGCAAAGUAAAUCUACCCCAUAUACACCUCAGACUAGGCCCUGUGCCUGGUCUGAAUUGUGAAUGAUGAGACAUGG
rnacentral:snoRNA from 1 species